rnacentral:rRNA from 1 species
AAGACCUUGCGCUUUUGGAGCGGCCGAUGUCUGAUUAGCUAGUUGGUAGGGUAAUGGCCUACUAAAGCUUCGAUCAGUAGCUGGUCUGAGAGGACGACCAGCCACACUGGGACUGAGACACGGCCCAGACUCCUACGGGAGGCAGCAGUGGGGAAUUUUGGACAAUGGGCGCAAGCCUGAUCCAGCCAUGCCGCGUGAGUGAAGAAGGCCUUCGGGUUGUAAAGCUCUUUCAGCCGGGAAGAAAAGGCUACGACGAAUAAUCGUAGCUCAUGACGGUACCGGAAGAAGAAGCACCGGCUAACUACGUGCCAGCAGCCGCGGUAAUACGUAGGGUGCGAGCGUUAAUCGGAAUUACUGGGCGUAAAGGGUGCGCAGGCGGUUUUGUAAGUCAGAUGUGAAAUCCCCGGGCUUAACCUGGGAACU